rnacentral:misc_RNA from 1 species
GCAGCAACCUCGAGUUGAACAACGACGGGACGGCCAGCGAUCGGCCGCUGGACGUGCCGCGCAACUCGCUGGCCCUGCCGGCGCGCAAGAACGUCGACUUCCGCUACUCGCGCAAGUUCGGCCUCCGUGGCAGCAUGGCGGCGGAAAUCAUCGCGGAGCUGAAGAACGUGUUCAACACCGAGCAGGUGUCGGGCGUCACCGCGACGGUCACCACCAACGCGCAGGGCGUGCCGGCGGCGGCGCUGCCGACGUCCGGCGAUCAACUGGUGCCGACCGGCGGCUACGAACAGCGCCAGUUCCAGUUGGGCUUCAAGUUUAUUUUCUAAGGCAGGUCGUCGGGUUGUCAGGUCGUCAGGCAGUCAGCUUGACGGCCUGACCGCCUGGCUGCCUGACUGCCUGGUUUCAUCAAUGCGAAAAGCUCUCCUCGUCGUCACCAUCAUCUUCGCCGCUGCAUCCGCGCACUCCACGGCUCAACAUCAGCUGCAACCCGUGGCUGCCUUGAAGGGGGCGCCGGCGCUCGAGCUCGCGCUUCGCAAGCUCGACACCGUUGGCAACUUCAUGAUGACGACGGCGCAUCCUGAUGACGAGAACAACGCGAUGCUCGCGUACUUCUCGCACGGCAAGGGCUUCAGGACCUCGCUGGUCACGGCGACGCAUGGCGAAGGCGGGCAGAACGAGAUCGGCCCUGAGCUGUUCGUGCCGCUCGCGGUGCUUCGCACCGAAGAGCUGCUGGCCGCGCACCGCUUCGACGGCGCCGAACAGUUCUUCACGCGCGCGAUUGAUUUCGGAUUCUCGUUCAGCGUCGAAGAGACGCUCGAGAAGUGGGGCCACGACGAAAUCCUCGGCGACUACGUGCGGAUGAUUCGCACCAUUCGGCCCGAUGUGAUUGUCGGCUUCGUGUUCGACGGCGACGGCGGCGGCCAGCAUCACCAGACCUCGUCGCGGCUAACGCUGGAAGCCUUCCGAGCGGCCGCGGAUCCGG